rnacentral:rRNA from 1 species
CACGUAGGGGGCGAGCGUUGUCCGGAUUUAUUGGGCGUAAAGAGCUCGUAGGCGGUUCAGUAAGUCGGGUGUGAAACCCCCGGGCUCAACCCGGGGACGCCACCUGAUACUGCUGUGACUUGAGUCCGGUAGGGGAGCGUGGAAUUCCUGGUGUAGCGGUGAAAUGCGCAGAUAUCAGGAGGAACACCGGUGGCGAAGGCGGUCUUCUGGACGGUGACUGACGCUGAGGCGCGAAAGCGUGGGGAGCAAACGGG